rnacentral:misc_RNA from 1 species
AACGCACCUUGCGCUCCUUGGUAUUCCGAGGAGCAUGCCUGUUUGAGUGUCAUUAAAUUCUCAACUAUACAAGUUUCAAAAAACUUGUAUAGCUUGGAUCUUGGGAUUUGCGGGCUUUCACAAGUCGGCUGUCCUUAAAUGCAUUAGCAGAGCUUUUGCCGCUAACCUCUGGUGUGAUAAUUAUCUACGCCAUCGUGUUGCGACAUACUGAGGCUUAGCUUCUAAUCGUCUGCAAGGACAAUUUUUGACAAUCUGACCUCAAAUCAGGUAGGAUUACCCGCUGAACUUAA